UGGUUAAGCUAGAAAGAACGCAGGUGGAUGCCUUGGCACUAAGAGCCGAUGAAAGACGUGAUAAGCUGCGAAAAGCUCGGGGAGUGGCAAAUACACUUUGAUCCGGAGAUCUCUGAAUGGGGAAACCUGGCUGAGCAAACCUCAGUCGUCGUAUGGUGAAUACAUAGCCAUACGUCGGGAACCUGGUGAACUGAAACAUCUAAGUAGCCAGAGGAAAAGAAAACAACAUGUGAUUUCCAAAGUAGCGGCGAGCGAAAUGGAAAGAGGCCAAACCGGCGUGC
rnacentral:rRNA from 1 species